rnacentral:rRNA from 1 species
AUUGAACGCUGGCGGCAGGCCUAACACAUGCAAGUCGAGCGAGCGGCGGACGGGUGAGUAAUGUCUGGGAAACUGCCUGAUGGGGGGGGGUAACUACUGGAAACGGUAGCUAAUACCGCAUACCAUCAGAUGUGCCCAGAUGCGAUUAGCUGGUAGGUGGGGUAACGGCUCACCUAGGCGACGAUCCCUAGCUGGUCUGAGAGGAUGAACAGCCAACCUGGAACUUGGACACGGUCCAGACUCCUACGGGAGGCAGCAGUGGGGAAUAUUGCACAAUGGGCGCAAGCCUGAUGCAGCCAUGCCGCGGUUGUGAAGAAGGCCUUCGGGUUGUAAAGCACUUUCAGCGGGGAGGCGUUACCCGCAGAAGAAGCACCGGCUAACUCCGUGCCAGCAGCCGCGGUAAUAC